UCGGGAAUUUUGGGCAAUGGGCGAAAGCCUGACCCAGCAACGCCGCGUGAAGGAUGAAGUAUUUCGGUAUGUAAACUUCGUAAGAAUAGGAAGAAUAAAUGACGGUACUAUUUGUAAGGUCCGGCUAACUACGUGCCAGCAGCCGCGGUAAUACGUAGGGACCAAGCGUUGUUCGGAUUUACUGGGCGUAAAGGGCGCGUAGGCGGUGUGUCAAGUCAGUUGUGAAAUCUCCGAGCUUAACUCGGAACGGUCAACUGAUACUGUCACACUAGAGUACAGAAGGGGCAAUCGGAAUUCUUGGUGUAGCGGUGAAAUGCGUAGAUAUCGGGAGGAACACCUGUGGCGAAGGCGGCCACCUGGUUGGAUACUGACGCUGAGACGCGAAAGCGUGGGGAGCAAACAGGAUUAGAUACCCCCGUAGUCCCUGAGCGGGCUGGCAAGGCGCAU
rnacentral:rRNA from 1 species